CCUACGGGCGGCUGCAGUGAGGAAUAUUGGUCAAUGGCCGCAGUGCUGAACCAGCCAAGCCGCGUGAGGGAUGACGGCCCUAUGGAUUGUAAACCUCUUUUGUCAGGGAGCAAAGCGCGCCACGUGUGGCGUUCUGCGAGUAUCCGAAGAAAAAGCAUCGGCUAACUCCGUGCCAGCAGCCGCGGUAAUACGGAGGAUGCGAGCGUUAUCCGGAUUUAUUGGGUUUUAAGGGUGCGUAGGCGGAAUGUCAAGUCAGCGGUAAAAUUUCGGGGCUCAACCCCGUCGUGCCGUUGAAACUGGCAGUCUUGAGUGGGCGAGAAGUAUGCGGAAUGCGUGGUGUAGCGGUGAAAGGCAUAGAUAUCGCGCAGAACUCCGAUUGCGAAGGCAGCGUACCGGCGCUAGACUGACGCUGAUGCACGAAAGCGUGGGGAUCGAACAGGAUUAGAUACCCGGGUAGUC
rnacentral:rRNA from 1 species